rnacentral:rRNA from 1 species
GUGAGGAAUAUUGGUCAAUGGGCGGGAGCCUGAACCAGCCAAGUCGCGUGAAGGAAGAAGGAUCUAUGGUUCGUAAACUUCUUUUGCAGGGGAAUAAAGUGCAGGACGUGUCCUGUUUUGUAUGUACCCUGAGAAUAAGGAUCGGCUAACUCCGUGCCAGCAGCCGCGGUAAUACGGAGGAUCCGAGCGUUAUCCGGAUAUAUUGGGUUUAAAGGGUGCGUAGGUGGUUUGAUAAGUCAGCGGUGAAAGUUUGCAGCUUAACUGUAAAAAUGCCGUUGAAACUGUCGGACUUGAGUGUAAAUGAGGUAGGCGGAAUGCGUGGUGUAGCGGUGAAAUGCAUAGAUAUCACGCAGAACUCCGAUUGCGAAGGCAGCUUACUAAGCUACAACUGACACUGAAGCACGAAAGCGUGGGGAUCAAACAGGAUUAGAUACCCGUGUAGUCC